UGUGAUCGCAAACCAAGCGAUAGAUGGUCUAUGCUGUGGAUGAUGUGAAGAGCGGAAGACUCAUUUUUGGUGCGGCCCGGUGGUAUGUUCGUUACCUGCGUCGGCUCCUGCAAGGCUGGAUAUCAUCUGUCCCCAACCGGACAACCCUCCCGUAGAAAGGACUUGACCGACAAAAAUCCGUAUUGGUCGAUCUACACUUGUAAAGAAUGUGUGUUGAAAUUACAAAUUCUAGACUAAAGCUAGAUACAGAUAAGUAAUAACAACAGCGCAUAUAUGUUUGUUAAUGACUCGAAACGUUUAUUAAUUCCAUGGUCUUAUGUUCCACUAUAACGCGGUUAGAACUUCGAUUUCAUUUCAACAAUCAAGGGUACAGCUGUGGUCAAUCAGAUGCUAACGUAUGAGUUGGGACAGCAAUUGAGGGAUAAGGAAUAAAUGGAAAAUAUUGUGCUCUACUCCUCAGUCACAAGAGAUAGGACACAGAAACUAUGCUAUUUUAUGGCUUCCCCUCAAUACUGAUUUCAACCGUAAUGUUGUGCAACCUCUGACAGCGCUCUCCUAUCCUAUCGGUAAUCUUAUCAAAACCUAUGCGACCUAUCUGCAUUAAUUCAAAUAUCAGCCUUUGGAAUCGAUUUACAUAAAUAUAGUUUUAAAAUCUAGAGACUGGCGUGUGUGGCUUCCUUAACGGUUGUGUGGCGAAUUGUAAAGCUCUACUAAAGCUUCUUUACCACCUUAAUCGACCUCCUCCAUGUGCGACAGAUCCUCCGAGUCGUCCACCAGCGGCGGAGCAUCACCCGAUGCCGGGGCCGCCGCCGCAGCACCGCUGCUGCCCUCGUCCGUCGUCAUCGGCUCGUCCUCGUCGAUGCCCAGACCCAGCUUGAUCAUGCGGUAGAUGCGGGACGCAUGGGUUCCGGGCUCGUCCAGCGAGAAGCCGGAGGACAGCAGCGCCGUCUCGAACAGCAGAAUCACCAGA